GGCACUAUAGCCAAGUGGUUAAGGCGACAGAUUAGAAUUACACAAGUGAUGGCAUGUGACAAUCUAUCUGUUACUCUCUGAGUGCGCAGGUUCAAAUCCUGCUGGUGUCG